rnacentral:rRNA from 1 species
AGUGAACGCUGGCGGUAGGCCUAACACAUGCAAGUCGAACGGCAGCACAGUAAGAGCUUGCUCUUACGGGUGGCGAGUGGCGGACGGGUGAGGAAUACAUCGGAUUCUACUUUUUCGUGGGGGAUAACGUAGGGAAACUUACGCUAAUACCGCAUACGACCUACGGGUGAAAGCAUGGGAUCUUCGGACCUUGCGCGAUUGAAUGAGCCGAUGUCGGAUUAGCUAGUUGGCGGGGUAAAGGCCCACCAAGGCGACGAUCCGUAGCUGGUCUGAGAGGAUGAUCAGCCACACUGGAACUGAGACACGGUCCAGACUCCUACGGGAGGCAGCAGUGGGGAAUAUUGGACAAUGGGCGCAAGCCUGAUCCAGCCAUACCGCGUGGGUGAAGAAGGCCUUCGGGUUGUAAAGCCCUUUUGUUGGGAAAGAAAAGCAGCAGGUUAAUACCCCGAUGUUCUGACGGUACCCAAAGAAUAAGCACCGGCUAACUUCGUG